GCGGGUGUAACUUAGUGGGUAAAGCAUUUGCCUGAAAUACAUUAGGCUCUGGGUUCAAUCCCCAGCGUUGCA
rnacentral:tRNA from 1 species